rnacentral:rRNA from 1 species
UGCUCAGGACGAACGCUGGCGGCGUGCUUAACACAUGCAAGUCGAACGAUGAAGCCAGCUUGCUGGUGGAUUAGUGGCGAACGGGUGAGUAACACGUGGGUGAUCUGCCCUGUACUUUGGGAUAAGCCUGGGAAACUGGGUCUAAUACCGAAUAUGACCACUUAACGCAUGUUUUGUGGUGGAAAGCUCCGGCGGUAUGGGAUGGGCCCGCGGCCUAUCAGCUUGUUGGUGGGGUAAUGGCCUACCAAGGCGACGACGGGUAGCCGGCCUGAGAGGGCGACCGGCCACACUGGGACUGAGACACGGCCCAGACUCCUACGGGAGGCAGCAGUGGGGAAUAUUGCACAAUGGGCGCAAGCCUGAUGCAGCGACGCCGCGUGAGGGAUGACGGCCUUCGGGUUGUAAACCUCUUUCACCAGGGACGAAGCGUGAGGACG